AGCUCCAAGAGCAUAUAUUAAAGUUGUUGCAGUUAAAAAGCUCGUAGUUGGAUUUCUGGUACAAUGCACCUGGCCCGCGGCCUCUUAGGCUUGUGAGUGCCGGCGCGCGUUUACCAUCCUUCUAGAAAACAGGCCUGCCCUUUACUGGGUUGGGUUUGCGAUCUAGAUCUUUUACUUUGAAAAAAUUAGAGUGUUUAAAGCAGGCUUUUGCUAUGAAUACAUUAGCAUGGAAUAAUAAUCUAGGACUUCGGUUCUAUUUUGUUGGUUUCUAUAACUGAAGUAAUGAUUGAUAGGGAUAGUUGGGGGUGCUAGUAUUGGCCGGCCAGAGGUGAAAUUCUUGGAUUCGGUCAAGACUAACUUAUGCGAAAGCAUUCACCAAGGAUGUCUUCU
rnacentral:rRNA from 1 species